rnacentral:rRNA from 1 species
GACGAACGCUGGCGGCGUGCCUAACACAUGCAAGUCGAACGGAAAGACCAGGCUCUUGCUGCUCUCUCGUGUGGCGAACGGGGGUGUAUCACACGUGUAAACCGUCCCUGUCUGUGUGGUAACACCAGGGAACAGCGGAUAUUAUCCCGUAGAAUAUCUUGCAGCGCGGUGGUCAUUGGAAAAAUUCGGUGGUUGUGGCUGGUCUCGCGGCUUACGAGCCUGUUGGUGGGGUAGUGGCUUUCAAAGGCUUUGACGGGUAGCCGGCCUGAGAGGGUGACCGGCCACAAUGGGACUGAGAUACGGCCCAGACUCCUACGGGAGGCAGCAGUGGGGAAUAUUGCACAAUGGGCGGAAGCCUGAUGCAGCAGCGCCGCGUGCGGGAUGCCGGCCUUCGGGUUGUGAACCGCUUUCGCCUGUGACGAAGCGUGAGUGACGGUAAUGGGUAAAGAAGCACCGGCUAACUACGUG